rnacentral:rRNA from 1 species
CCUACGGGUGGCUGCAGUGGGGAAUAUUGGACAAUGGGCGAAAGCCUGAUCCAGCCAUGCCGCGUGUGUGAAGAAGGCCUUCGGGUUGUAAAGCACUUUCAGUGGGGAAGAAAGCCUUGGGGCUAAUACCCUCGACGAAGGACAUCACCCACAGAAGAAGCACCGGCUAACUCCGUGCCAGCAGCCGCGGUAAUACGGAGGGUGCGAGCGUUAAUCGGAAUUACUGGGCGUAAAGCGCGCGUAGGCGGUCUGAUAAGCCGGUUGUGAAAGCCCCGGGCUCAACCUGGGAACGGCAUCCGGAACUGUCAGGCUAGAGUGCAGGAGAGGAAGGUAGAAUUCCCGGUGUAGCGGUGAAAUGCGUAGAGAUCGGGAGGAAUACCAGUGGCGAAGGCGGCCUUCUGGACUGACACUGACGCUGAGGUGCGAAAGCGUGGGUAGCAAACAGGAUUAGAUACCCUGGUAGUC